GCUAAGGAGUGUGUCAUGACUCACCUGCCGAAUGAAUUAGCCCUGAAAAUGGAUGGCGCUCAAGCGUAUGACCGAUACUCAACCAUCAUUGCAAAAGGAAGCAGUGAUGAGUAGGAGGGCGUGGAUGUUGUUAGAAGCCUUUGGCGUGAGCCUGGGUGGAACGACAUCUAGUGCAGAUCUUGGUGGUAGUAGCAAAUAGCCAAUUGGAAACGUUGGCGGCCGAAGUGGAGAAGGGUUUCGUGAGAACUGUAUUAGAUCACGAGUUACGCGGUCCUAAGUUCCUGGUUAAAUCUAUAUAAGGCGCUCUAUAGCGCGGAACGAAAGGGAAUCAGGUUGAAAUUCCUGAAGCCAACCAUCGAUACGUGGUAACACAAAUUAGCUCAGAGACGUCAGUGCGUACUCCUGGAAGAGUUUUCUUUUCUUCUUAACCGAUAGAAGCCAUGGAAUUGGAUUAUCCAGAGAUAUGGCCUUAAGUCGGGAAGAGCGGUUCUCUUUUGAGCCGGUGGUGCGUUCGCGACGAUCAAUGAAAAUCCGAGCUCGACUCUAAUCCAUUCAAAAUCGUACCAUAACCGCAUCAGGUCUCCAAGGUUAGCAGCCUCUGGUCAACUAGAAGAAAGUCAUUUAGGGAAUUCGGCAAAAUAGAUCCGUAACUUCGGGAAAAGGAUUGGCUCUGAGGACUGGGUAUGGAGUGCGUUCAGACGAAUGAAAGACCUUUGUUGAGGGCCCGUCCCGAGGCAGAGGACUUGAACUCGGAGGGGCGUUUCCUCCAUUCAUUUAUCAGUCAGCUCAGAACUGAAGCGGUCAAGGGGAAUCUAACUGUUUAAUAAAAACAAAGCUUUGUGAUGUCCCGAAAGGGUUUUGACACAAUGUGAUUUCUGCCCAGUGCUUUGAACGUUAACGUGAAGAAAUUCAACUAAGCGCAGGUAAACGGCAGGUGUAACUAUAACACUUUUAAGGUAGCCAAAUGCCUCGUCAUCUAAUUAGUGACGUGCAUGAAUGGAUCAAUGAGAUUCCUACUGUCCCAAAUGACCAUCUAACGAACCCACAGCCAAGGGAACGGGCUUGGCAAAAUCAGCGGGGAAAGAAGACCCUGUUGAGCUUUGAAGAAGAGUGACAUUGUGACGUGGCAAUUGGGGUAUAGUGUAGGUGGGAGGGCAACCAAUAAUGUAACACCACUACUCAUUUCGUCAUUUUACUAAUUCCGUGAAGCAGAGCUCCUCCGGGAAUUCUUGCACUAAGGUCCGUAAGGACUGAUCUGGGCGGAAGACAGUGUCAUCCGAUUUUCUUGACUGGGGCGGUACAUCUGUUAAACGAUAACGCAGGUGUCCUAAGGCGAGCUCAAAGAGAACAGAAAUCUCUUGUAGACCAAAAGGGGAAAAGCUCGCUUGAUUUUGAUUUUCAGUACAAAUACAAACUGUGAAAGCAUGGCCUAUAGAUCCUUAGAUUUUACAAGUCUUAAAUUUGAGGUGUCAGAAAAGUUACCACAGGGAUUGACAAACUUGUCCCAGUAGUUGGCUCUCCCCAACUGCUAGUGCGGCCCGCUAUUCGGAUGGCGGUCACCGUGCGACACACCUGGAUGCUGGAACCUCCCAAUGCACGAGUACCAAGCGGUUCUUUCCGCUAAGGACGAGGAGACGUCCGGGUAAUAACCUCGUGACAGGGACGAUCAGCAAGCGACAAGGCCACGGCCGCGCGCUUCAACGACUGGAAAGGUGUGGACCCUCCGGGGUCUAAGGUACAGUCUAUUCCCGGCAGAGAUGCCGCCUGGCUCAAGAGUCAUCCGAGACUCCGAACCCAGGGCUCCCAACCGACGAGGAAAUGCGUCGGCUAGAGUGGUGUCCAAGAACUGACUUGUGGCGACCCGAGCGUACAGAGCGACGGCGCUUUUUGAUCCUUCGAUGUCGGCUCUUCCUAUCAUUGU
rnacentral:rRNA from 1 species